GACGAACCGUGCGAACGUUGUUCGGAAUCACUGGGCUUAAAGGGCGCGUAGGCGGCUUGCCAAGUCAGUGGUGAAAUCCCACAGCUUAACUGUGGAAGUGCCUUUGAUACUGGCGAGCUCGAGGGAGGUAGGGGUAUGUGGAACUUCUGGUGGAGCGGUGAAAUGCGUUGAUAUCAGAAGGAACGCCGGUGGCGAAAGCGACGUACUGGACCUCUCUGACGCUGAGGCGCGAAAGCUAGGGGAGCAAACGGG
rnacentral:rRNA from 1 species